UGUCGGGGGCAGUGUUGGAAACUCGGACACACUCAGAUUGAGAACAAGCAGAAAAAACUCACAAAGAAUGUCAUCCAGACUCCUUAACAUCUAAUUUCAAGAAGGCUGAAAUAGAGGUGACGGGCCACAGCUAGAACACACAGGAGAAAGAUGUGGAGAAGGCGUCAAUAACUGAAGGUCCCAGGGGGAGCCAAGGGCACAAGU